rnacentral:rRNA from 1 species
UACAGAGGGUGCAAGCGUUGUUCGGAAUCAUUGGGCGUAAAGGGCGUGUAGGCGGUUUGUUAAGUCAUGUGUGAAAUCCCUCGGCUCAACCGGGGAACGACGCAUGAAACUGACAAGCUAGAGUACCAAAGAGGGGGGUGGAAUUCCCGGUGUAGCGGUGAAAUGCGUAGAGAUGUGGAGGAACACCAGUGGCGAAGGCGGCUUUCUGGUCUGUAACUGACGCUGAGGCACGAAAGCGUGGGGAGCAAACAGG